AACGAACGCUGGCGGCAGGCCUAACACAUGCAAGUCGAACGCCGUAGCAAUACGGAGUGGCAGACGGGUGAGUAACGCGUGGGAACAUACCCCUCGGUUCGGAAUAACUCAGGGAAACUUGAGCUAAUACCGGAUAAGUCCGAGGUUUUAAUCGACCUUGGAGAAAGAUUUAUCGCCGGAGGAUUGGCCCGCGUCUGAUUAGCUUGUUGGUGAGGUAAUGGCUCACCAAGGCGACGANCAGUAGCUGGUCUGAGAGGAUGAUCAGCCACAUUGGGACUGAGACACGGCCCAAACUCCUACGGGAGGCAGCAGUGGGGAAUAUUGGACAAUGGGGGCAACCCUGAUCCAGCGACGCCGCGUGGGUGAAGAAGGCCUGCGGGUUGUAAAGCCCUUUCGGUGGGGAAGAAAAGUCUCGACCUAAUACGUCGGGACCUUGACGUAACCCACUAAGAAGCACCGGCUAACUCUGUGCCAGCCGCCGCCGU
rnacentral:rRNA from 1 species